UAUGGGGGGAGCAAGCGUUGUUCGGAUUUACUGGGCGUAAAGGGCGCGUAGGCGGCGCAACAAGUCACUUGUGAAAUCUCCGGGCUUAACCCGGAGCGGCCAAGUGAUACUGUCGUGCUAGAGUGCGGAAGGGGCUACUGGAAUUCUCGGUGUAGCGGUGAAAUGCGUAGAUAUCGAGAGGAACACCUGCGGCGAAGGCGGGUAGCUGGGCCGACACUGACGCUGAGGCGCGAAAGCGUGGGGAGCAAACAGG
rnacentral:rRNA from 1 species